rnacentral:rRNA from 1 species
AGGGCAGAUCCAUUUUCUGCCACCGAAUACAUUAGCAUGGGAUAAUGGAAUAGGACCCUGUCCUCCUAUUUUCAGUUGGUUUUGGCAGCGCGAGGACUAGGGUAAUGAUUAAUAGGGAUAGUUGGGGGCAUUAAUAUUUAAUUGUCAGAGGUGAAAUUCUUGGAUUUAUGAAAGAUUAACUUCUGCGAAAGCAUCUGCCAAGGAUGUUUUCAUUAAUCAAGAACGAAAGUUAGGGGAUCGAAGACGAUCAGAUACCGUCGUAGUCUUAACCAUAAACGAUGCCGACCAGCGAUUAGGAGACGUUGAAUACAAAACACCACCAUCGGUGCGGUCGUCCUUGGCGUUGGUCUUCAAAAGCCAGCGCGGGGGUGGCUUAGCCCGGUGGCACCGGUGAAUGACUCCCCUAGCAGCUUGUGAGA